rnacentral:rRNA from 1 species
AACGAACGCUGGCGGCAUGCCUAACACAUGCAAGUCGAACGAGACCUUCGGGUCUAGUGGCGCACGGGUGCGUAACGCGUGGGAACCUGCCCUUAGGUUCGGAAUAACUCCCCGAAAGGGGUGCUAAUACCGGAUAAUGUCUUCGGACCAAAGAUUUAUCGCCUUUGGAUGGGCCCGCGUUGGUUUAGCUGGUUGGUAGGGUAAAAGCCUCCCAAGGCGACGAUCCAUGGCUGGUCGGAGAGGAUGAUCAGCCACACUGGGACUGCGACACGGCCCAGACUCCUACGGGGGGCAGCAGUGGGGAGUAUUGGACGAUGGGCGCAAGCCUGAUCCAGCAAUGCCGCGUGAGUGAUGAAGGCCUUAGGGUUGUAAAGCUCUUUUACCCGGGAUGAUAAUGACAGUACCGGGAGAAUAAGCUCCGGCUAACUCCGUG